AGCUCCAAAAGCAUAUAUUAACAUUGUUGCGGUUAAAAGGCUCGUAGUCUAACCUAUGGCUUCCCGAUUGUAGCCCGGACUCCAGUAGUCUGAGAGCAAGCUUUCGAAAGUCAUCCUUUUGGAUUGCACUUCUGCCCUUGAUUGGGUUGGUUGUGGAAUACAAAUCUUUUACUGUGAGAAAAACAUAGCGUUCCAAGCAGGCUUAACGCCCUGAAUGCUCUAGCAUGGAAUAAUACUAUAAGACUUCGGUUUUUUAUUGGCUGAAACCUAAAGUAAUGAUUGACAGAGAUAGUUGGGGGUGCUAGUAUUUAGCGGUCAGCGGUGAAAUGCGAAGACCCGUUAAAGACUAUCUUAUGCGAAAGCAUUCACCAAGGAUAUCUUCUUUGAUCAAGAACGAAAG
rnacentral:rRNA from 1 species